AGAUACUUCCCUGCCUCAUGUGUGGGAGUAUUGCCCACUCAACGUAUAGUCAUGCCGAUCCACAUCAGCUAAUAUGAGCUGAAUUUCAGGAUGUAUACAUAUGUGGAUAUUGUUCAAGGAACGUGCAGAAAAUCUAUUCCUGUCCACUAAGUUGAGAUUUCCAGUGCAACAAAUGGAGGGAGUGUUCGUAUUUUUAGUAUCUCUCAUUUGGAUCUGUGAUGCAUCAAACAGUCAAGAUGACGCCUCGCAAUUUCUGACAACACCACAAUGCAAGCAAUGUGUGUGUUCAGUUUGUGCCAGCGUUGUGUCCCAAGGU